UACGUAGGGGGCAAGCGUUGUCCGGAAUUACUGGGCGUAAAGGGCUCGUAGGUGGCCAACUAAGUCAGACGUGAAAUCCCUCAGCUUAACUGGGGAACUGCGUCUGAUACUGGAUGGCUUGAGUUUGGGAGAGGGAUGCGGAAUUCCAGGUGUAGCGGUGAAAUGCGUAGAUAUCUGGAGGAACACCGGUGGCGAAGGCGGCAUCCUGGACCAACACUGACACUGAGGAGCGAAAGCCAGGGGAGCAAACGGG
rnacentral:rRNA from 1 species